AAGCGUGGAAGGAAGGGUGGGGAUGACGUACAAACUCAUCAUGCCCUUUAUGACCUGGGCUACAAACGUACUACAAUGGCCAGAUACAAAGAGAUGCGAAGCCGCGAGGUGGAGCGAACCUCAUAAAAAUGGUCUCAGUUCGGAUUGGAGUCUGCAACUCGACUCCAUGAAGUCGGAAUCGCUAGUAAUCGCGGGUCAGCAGACCGCGGUGAAUACGUUCCCGGGUUUU
rnacentral:rRNA from 1 species